UGGCGCUGUCAUCGCCUGUGAGAGCGAUUCGCCAACGGUACGUGACAGUGAAAACCAGGAAACCCGUCGCGGUGCUCACGUGCACGCCCUCCGCUGCACAUUUGAUGGGAGCGCACGAGCCUGCAAGCAUCAACCCAGAAGCGGGCACAAAAGAAAAGGAUUCCAGCACUCACGUCUCUCUCCCUCUUUGUGUGUGUCUGGGUGCCUGAUGGGUGGGUGAGCCAGAGAGGAAUCCCUGCACAAACUUUUCCUGCACAGACCCACGCACACACACAAACACACACACGCAUCCCGCUCUCACGCAAGACCAUAAAAGAGGAAGAGGCUGCGGGCAACAAGGACGGCUCUACGCGCGCAGAAACCAAUAGGGAGAGCUGCCGAGGGCUCCACGUACUUCUUUUUUGCUGUUUUGGGACGCCAUGGCGCUGCGCUUGCCUAAUUUAUCGCCGACGAGCACGCUCGCUUCUGCUGGGCAGAUCCUUAUCUUAGUUGCUUCCGAUGGGGUGCGCGUUCCAGUCAAGCGCGCCAUCGCCACCGAGGCCUCUUUCGUCUUGCGCGACCUGUUAGACGGACAAGACGUGCUACCCACGGUGCACCAUGAUGAUGGCCGCCCUGGCCUCGGUUUCAUCGGUGACGAGAGGCCGUCGCCUCAUGUCUCGAGCCCCAAGGGAUCGGAUGCGGCGACAAAGCUGGAGAACUUGUUCGAGGUACCUGACGCAGCCACGCCAGCUACGUCUGGCGGGGCGUUUCCGCCACCUCGCCCGACACAGCAUGAGGGAGGCGACGCCAACACGUUGGUAGCCAAAGCAGCCGCGAAAGCAGCUGUGCCAGACCUGAUGGACUUCUUCCCUGUGGCGCCGGCUGCCGACCCGCCACUUGAUAUAUCAGCGGAGAUGCCUGCCUCGGUGGAGGCGACACCGCUGUCGAACGCUUCGCCCCGCUUUUCUGCCGCCCCCGCCUACGCGGUUCGAGCAACGCCGACUGAGCAGGUGCAGCCCUUGGCGCAGACCACGCACUCCCCAUCCCGUCCCUCGCCGCCGCCCAUGCUACCGCCGACGGAGGUGGAGGUUCCGUUCCCGUACUUUACUGGCGACAUCUUGGAGCGGGUGUGCCGUCAUAUGUCGUACCGCUUCCGCAUGUCAUCGUUUGGCAGCGAGGACGGGUGCUACCGCGUGUACGCCAUGAAGGCGCGCACGAUCCCGCGUCCCAUGACGCUGCCGUUGGUGGAGUACCUGGAUGCAAAGGAUCGGGCCUUCAUCGCCGACUGGGAUGAACUCAUCACGGUGCAGAUGGUGAAGGCGGCAACCCUCCUCAAUUACGAGGAACUGCUGCAACUGGCCUCGGCAAAGCUGGCCUCAUAUCUUAUUGAACGCGACUUGGAGGGGGUGCGAACGCUGCUCGGUGUCAAGGGUGACUUCGACCUCGCCGAGAACGCUGAGCUGAAGAAGGAACAGGUGGUGGACUACUUGCGCUAGAGCGUCGGCGGGGGGGUGGGGCUAUAAUCCAGUGGGCCAUGAAAGGAAGAGGAAGGGUAAGACAUGAGGUGACAGCGGGGACACCCUGAAACGGGAAACCUUCAUUUGGUUCACGGAGGCUCAUCUAACGCAAAAGAGGAGGCCUGCUGUUGCGCAGAGGAGCGCUGGUCUUCAACACCGCUGCGCCGUGGUCGGCUCUCCUUUCCCCUUUCCCUGCUCCCGUGCUCUUUGCGUCGUAUCGCCGCUGUCACUGGAGUUGCUGCACGUGACCCAUCCCUCUUCGUCCGCACAGCCAGAACAGCGUCGUGCUAACCCGGACCCCGCACAGCCCCUCUCUGUUUAUCACUUCCUUCCUUGUCCAGUCUCUAGCGUGCGUGCUCGAAUCGCGGCAUGCCGUCUGCGUUUGUGUGUGUGCGUGUGUGUAUGCCUGUACGUCCGAUUCAUCGAUUUCUUUGUCCUACUCUUUCUGUCUGUGUGGGAGGGUCGUCUUCUGGCACAGAACUUCUUGCUUGCUGUGUAGGUGGCCCCCACAUUGCUUUCGGCAAGGCCGCUGAAAAAAAAAAAUUGCGGCACCAAC
rnacentral:misc_RNA from 1 species